UAGACGUGAAGGAGCUGCGAGAAACAGCAGAAUAAACCAAAAGGCUGUCCAUUCUGAUGCCCAUGAUGAGACAUACACAGCUCUCAACCCCAGGAGCACAUCCUCUGAGUAUGACACUCUGCAGAAUGUGCGGAAUGUGAGUGACACCUACAUGCCUCUCCAGAG